GAGAACAUGUCAGUGAUGGAGGGAGAUCCUGUUACUCUACACACUAAUGCUACUCGUAUACAGGCCGAAGAUGUGAUACAGUGGUUUAAAGAUUCUCUCAUAGCUUAUUCAAACAAAACAACCACCACCACAGGCAGAUUUGUUAUGAAUUCAGAUGGAUCUCUCUUCAUUUUAAAGAUCAGAUCUAAAGAUUCUGGAGUUUAUGAUGUAAACAUCACUGGCAGCAAACACAUUCACAAGAGAUUUAAUGUUACUGUCACUGAAUCAAGGUCAAACGGGGAGAAAACUGGUCCAGGAUUAUUGGUAGUACUGAUCCUGAUGGGGAUAUUCCUGAUGAGUUGAUCAUCUGAAAGAACAAGAAGAAAAAAAAGACAAGAAAGAAACAAGAAAGAGACGGAUGAACAUUUGAAGAUUGAGACUUCCAACAACAGCUCAUAGUCACAGAAUACAGAUGAACACAAAAGUCUUUUCAAAUCUAACGUAUAUACUGCUGUAUGACAUUUAGCUGUGAAACUUAAAGGUCUAGUAAAGUUGUUAAUUUUGUUUUGUUUGUUUUUUUACCUGCAUGAACACAGGGAUUAUUCAUGUUUAGAUACAUGACACCUGUUUAAAGGGGUCAAAUGACACGACUAAAAUGAAUAUUAUGGUGUGUAAUGCAAUGUGUAUACAGGAUUUAAGGUUCAUAAAUGCUGUAUUUUCCACAUACCGUGCAUGUUUGUAUCUCCUCUUUGCUCCGCCUCUCUGAAACACGCAGAUUUU